AUAUAAUUAAAUGCUAACAUGACAUUAAUCUAUUUUAUAUGCUAUGUCAACAAAUGAUUUCAAAAUUAUUAAAAAAACAAUAAUUCAAAUCUGCAAUGGAAAAAAAAGUUGUUCGUCCAGGCCCAAAAUGUAUCCCCUAAGUUGCAUACUUUUCCAUCUCUAAUCAUUCAAAUCUGUAGCUUUACUGUUGCUUCAUCAACAACACAAUUGUCUGAUAAUUUAACACCAUUGAUCGCCACUAGUUCAAUGUCUAUCCUCAAGCUUGUCACUUUUACUGUUGCUUCUAGAUGGAACAAUAUUUCCCCCUCCAAUCUUUUGAGACAAUCGUCAAUAUAACUUCAAAAUUUCAUUAACAAAAUAAUAACGUCCAACCAUAUAAGCAAGCAACCAUAUAUGCCACUCAAAAGGAAACUUACAAAUUUAUGCUUACAAGGCUAGAUCGGUUAAACCUCGUUCGAAUUUUCCUUCAGUCCCUCUUUUCCCUAAACUCAUUGACCAAAAUUUCUCGACUCACUGUGUUCACGACCUCGAGAUCUACUACUGACAAGGCUUGGUUUCAUAAUUUCAAGCAUCUAAAUGCGAGCAUUUUCGGAACUCAACUCGGAGCUUCAAAUUUUAAGGGUUUGAAAUUUGGUAAAGACUAAAAAAAACAUAGCAAAUGCAGGUGGGAAAAUACAACACAAAACA